CGUAUCGCCCCUAGACACCACUAGCUUCAUUUGAGCUUUUCAUUUCGCUGUGCCUAUAUUGUGAAGAGCCAGAGAGUCACCAUGAAGGCGUUUCUUGUCUGUGUCCUGCUCGCUACUGUCGCCGCUGUGAGCUUUGCUCACCACCUCGAGCUCUGCGAUAAAAAAGACGGACAGCUGAAAAAUGAACUGCAAUGCAUUGGACUCCACAUCUCACGAGGGGCGAACCAAAGCUUUGACAAGGCGUUGAAGACUCUCGGCUGCCAGGACUGGAGCUGCGUGAUCCGGAAGCUCUGCGUCGGAAACAACCUGGAAGCUGCCAUGGCCAACCACUUCACGAGGCCUCAAAUCGCGGAGAUUCACAGUGCUGCCACCACGUGCGAUCCGGAAGCCGGGCACCACCACCACCAGCACUGAAUGUUGUCCAGUUUUGAAUAUAUUCGAGAAAUUAGCCUUCCAUGGGCUGAACGUUCCUACACUGUCCAGAGGUGUGCCAUCGAGGGACUCCGGGCAGCUUUUACCCUUGUUGCAAUUAAAGGUUAAAACUUUUUACCUUUGUUGUGUUGAGGGCAAAUAAAAACACUUUGUGUGAUACUUUGA
rnacentral:misc_RNA from 1 species